GAGAGAACACAGCACGAAGAGUGUGGCUACUACACAAACUCUAUAGAAGUUAAAAUAGACUGACAAGUGUGGUCACUGGAGACGGAAGUCAACGUAAAUUAAAGGCACCACAAAAAGCGUUGAAUUGUUUCAAUGCAACUUGGCAGCUGACUGACGUGCAGAAUGUUUAGUGUUGACCAGCUGUAACUGGGAGGACUGGAAUAUUGACAGGUA